rnacentral:lncRNA from 1 species
GGCUAGUAAGAGGAUCGCUGUCUUUUUCUAUUUUUUUUCUAAGUAUACCGCAGUCCAGAAUCCCCUUCCCUGAUUGCUGUAUUGACCUCUGAAGAACAAAGUGCCCAACUAUUUGAAGUUUAACCUCAGAUACAUGCAGUGAGCUAUAGGCAUUUCCCUAUUCCCAUUGAUGUUGCCAUUUCCUAGCAUUUGAUAAAUGUUAAGUCCUCUCCCUUUACAAAAUGUUUUGAUAUUUGCUUCAGUUCUUAAUUCAGUCUUUAAUCUUUGUUGUGUGCCUGUAUGCUCCAAAACAAAAAAGGUAUUCAAUACAGUUCCCUAAAUGGCAUGGAAGUCCACAUACUGGAUAGAGAACUUUAGUUAGCAGGAUUUAGCCCUGACCACUUCAGGACUAACCAGAAGUUAAGCACGUGAUUAAGGGCAUUAUUCAAAUGCACUGUGAAUGCACCCAUGUAUGGAGCAUCAGCCUCUCUUAAGGAGGUAGAUAAAAGAAUGAACUUUGAGACUUACAGAUGGAUUGAAAAACCCAGUGAAAAUUCCUGAUUGUUUUCCAUGUUUUCUUAGUUAACUUGGUAAUCUAAAAGUAUUUCCCAUAGAAUCCUUCAGUUAACCAAGUUUCUAUGAGAAGAAUAAUAGAGCCUAGUGGUGUUCAUGCUGCAAAGAGCUACUGCAUCCACCAGUGAAAGCUUAUCUUCUGCCAUCAUAACAAAUCUCUGCAAUCAACACUUGGCCAAAGCAUCUUGCUGUGUCCGGUAUUUGGAGUUUUACUGUUGAUCCAGCUAACUUGACAUACACAUAUAGGUGAUCUUAAGUGGACCGCAUCUUGGAAACGAAGGGUAGAAUGGAUGAUUGGAUGCUGAAGAAUACAGAGACCAAAUGGCCAGAGACAAAAGGAAAGAAGCACAGCAAUAUAAAAUGGCAGAGAGUGGGUUACUGUAAUCUACUCAGGUGGCAAAAGAUGCUCCGUGAAGGGAGCAUGUUGAAGUUGUCUCCUCCACUGGUUCAGCAGACCACGCACUGUGUAAGGCAUCAAAAAGAGGUAAGGUGUCCUGACGUGAAUUAG